GACGUAGGGCGCGAGCGUUGUCCGGAUUUAUUGGGCGUAAAGAGCUCGUAGGCGGUCUGUCGCGUCGGCUGUGAAAACCCGAGGCUCAACCUCGGGCCUGCAGUCGAUACGGGCAGACUAGAGUGCUGUAGGGGAGACUGGAAUUCCUGGUGUAGCGGUGAAAUGCGCAGAUAUCAGGAGGAACACCGGUGGCGAAGGCGGGUCUCUGGGCAGUAACUGACGCUGAGGAGCGAAAGCGUGGGGGAGCGAACAGG
rnacentral:rRNA from 1 species